UAGCAAUAUGUGGCAUACGGCUCAGUAACACGUAGUCAACAUGCCCAGGGGACGUGGAUAACCUCGGGAAACUGAGGAUAAACCGCGAUAGGUCAUCACUUCUGGAAUGGGUAAUGACUUAAAUCUAUAUGGCCCCUGGAUUGGACUGCGGCCGAUCAGGCUGUUGGUGAGGUAAUGGCCCACCAAACCUGUAACCGGUACGGGCUCUGAGAGGAGGAGCCCGGAGAUGGGCACUGAGACAAGGGCCCAGGCCCUAUGGGGCGCAGCAGGCGCGAAACCUCUGCAAUAGGCGAAAGCUUGACAGGGUUACUCUGAGUGAUUUCCGUUAAGGAGAUCUUUUGGCACCUCUAAAAAUGGUGCAGAAUAAGGGGUGGGCAAGUCUGGUGUCAGCCGCCGCGGUAAUACCAGCACCCCGAGUGGUCGGGACGUUUAUUGGGCCUAAAGCAUCCGUAGCCGGUUCUACAAGUCUUCCGUUAAAUCCACCUGCUUAACAGAUGGGCUGCGGAAGAUACUAUAGAGCUAGGAGGCGGGAGAGGCAAGCGGUACUCGAUGGGUAGGGGUAAAAUCCGUUGAUCCAUUGAAGACCACCAGUGGCGAAGGCGGCUUGCCAAUACGCGCUCGACGGUGAGGGAUGAAAGCUGGGGGAGCAAACCGGAUUAGAUACCCGGGUAGUCCCAGCUGUAAACGAUGCAGACUCGGUGAUGGGCCGGCUUUAUGCCGGCUCAGUGCCGCAGGGAAGCCG
rnacentral:rRNA from 1 species